GACGAACGCUGGCGGCGUGCCUAAUACAUGCAAGUUGGGCGCUGAAGGUUGGUACUUGUACCAACUGGAUGAGCAGCGCACGGGUGAGUAACGCGUGGGGAAUCUGCCUUUGAGCGGGGGACAACAUUUGGAAACGAAUGCUAAUACCGCAUAAAAACUUUAAACACAAGUUUUAAGUUUGAAAGAUGCAAUUGCAUCACUCAAAGAUGAUCCCGCGUUGUAUUAGCUAGUUGGUGAGGUAAAGGCUCACCAAGGCGAUGAUACAUAGCCGACCUGAGAGGGUGAUCGGCCACAUUGGGACUGAGACACGGCCCAAACUCCUACGGGAGGCAGCAGUAGGGAAUCUUCGGCAAUGGACGAAAGUCUGACCGAGCAACGCCGCGUGAGUGAAGAAGGUUUUCGGAUCGUAAAACUCUGUUGGUAGAGAAGAACGUUGGUGAGAGUGGAAAGCUCAUCAAGUGACGGUAACUACCCAGAAAGGGACGGCUAACUACGUG
rnacentral:rRNA from 1 species